rnacentral:rRNA from 1 species
AUGAACGCUAGCGGCAGGCUUAACACAUGCAAGUCGAGGGGCAGCACGAGGUAGCAAUACUUUGGUGGCGACCGGCGCACGGGUGCGUAACGCGUAUGCAACCUACCUUUAACAGGGGCAUAACACUGAGAAAUUGGUACUAAUUCCCCAUAACAUUCGAGAAGGCAUCUUCUUGGGUUAAAAACUCCGGUGGUUAAAGAUGGGCAUGCGUUGUAUUAGCUAGUUGGUGAGGUAACGGCUCACCAAGGCAACGAUACAUAGGGGGACUGAGAGGUUAACCCCCCACAUUGGUACUGAGACACGGACCAAACUCCUACGGGAGGCAGCAGUGAGGAAUAUUGGUCAAUGGACGCAAGUCUGAACCAGCCAUGCCGCGUGCAGGAAGACGGCUCUAUGAGUUGUAAACUGCUUUUGUACUAGGGUAAACGCUCCUACGUGUAGGAGUCUGAAAGUAUAGUACGAAUAAGGAUCGGCUAACUCCGUGCCAGCAGCCGCGGUAAUACGGAGGAUCCAAGCGUUAUCCGGAUUUAUUGGGUUUAAAGGGUGCGUAGGCGGUUUGAUAAGUUAGAGGUGAAAUACCGGGGCUCAACUCCGGAACUGCCUCUAAUACUGUUGAACUAGAGAGUAGUUGCGGUAGGCGGAAUGUAUGGUGUAACGGUGAAAUGCUUAGAGAUCAUACAGAACACCGAUUGCGAAGGCAGCUUACCAAACUAUAUCUGACGUUGAGGCACGAAAGCGUGGGGAGCAAACAGGAUUAGAUACCCUGGUAGUCCACGCAGUAAACGAUGAUAACUCGUUGUCGGCAAUACACAGUCGGUGACUAAGCGAAAGCGAUAAGUUAUCCACCUGGGGAGUACGUUCGCAAGAAUGAAACUCAAAGGAAUUGACGGGGGCCCGCACAAGCGGAGGAACAUGUGGUUUAAUUCGAUGAUACGCGAGGAACCUUACCCGGGCUUGAAAGUUAGUGACGAUUCUGGAAACAGGAUUUCCCUUCGGGGCACGAAACUAGGUGCUGCAUGGUUGUCGUCAGCUCGUGCCGUGAGGUGUCGGGUUAAGUCCCAUAACGAGCGCAACCCCUACCGUUAGUUGCCAUCAGGUCAAGCUGGGCACUCUGGCGGGACUGCCGGUGUAAGCCGAGAGGAAGGUGGGGAUGACGUCAAAUCAGCACGGCCCUUACGUCCGGGGCUACACACGUGUUACAAUGGGGGGUACAGAGGGCCGCUACCACGCGAGUGGAUGCCAAUCCCCAAAACCUCUCUCAGUUCGGACUGGAGUCUGCAACCCGACUCCACGAAGCUGGAUUCGCUAGUAAUCGCGCAUCAGCCAUGGCGCGGUGAAUACGUUCCCGGGCCUUGUACACACCGCCCGUCACACCAUGGGAGUCGGUAACACCCGAAGCCUGUAGUCUAACCUUUAAGGAGGACGCAGUCGAAGGUGGGAUUGAUGACUGGGGUG